rnacentral:rRNA from 1 species
UGUACAGGUGCUGCAUGGCUGUCGUCAGCUCGUGUCGUGAGAUGUUCGGUUAAGUCCGCUAACGAGCGCAACCCUCGCUGUGUGUUACAAGUGUCACACGGAACUGCCGGUCAUAAACCGGAGGAAGGUGGGAUGACGUCAAGUCAGCAUGGCCUUUAUAUCCUGGGCUACACACACGCUACAAUGGGAAGGGACAAUAGGUUGCGAAGCCGCGAGGCGGAGCCAAUCCAGCAAAACUUCCCUCAGUUCAGAUUGCAGGCUGCAACCCGCCUGCACGAAGUUGGAGUUGCUAGUAAACGCAGGUCAGCCAUACUGCGUUGAAUACGUUCCCGGGGCUU